ensembl:processed_transcript
AGUCAUUGACAAGGACAUCGUCAUGGACCAGUGGUGAAGAGCCGCGAGAGAAGGUUAAUUUUUCGAAAGGAGAAGUCCACUAUUUCAGCUUCAUCAUUCAGCCUGGAAACUGAACUGCUUCAUAAAACUUGUGCUUGAAAAGUGUCAUGGGACCCAUAUUAAGUUUCCAAAUUUGAUCUGCUGCACACAAGUAGCUUUGAAGAAGAAGGAUCCCAGCUUAAAGAAAAACAUGUCACAUCCAUAAUUGUUUGACAUCAUCUUCAAGCACACCUGGAUUCCUUGUUGCAAUGUCUUCAAAACAAAUGUAAAAAUGAAAGUAUUUCAGUGGUGAGCUCAUAUGAUGGGAUCAAAAGGAAGUGAACUGGACUCUGAGGGACUUAACACAAGAUUGUGAUGGACCUAGAAUGCGACAUCGUUUACGAAUAAGUCAAGAACCAAAUGAAACACUAUUUUCCAGAGCGCAGAUUAUGGAGGGGUCUGCAAAACUAAUGGAGCAGUUUCUUCUUCUUGGAGUGCCACAGCUUAAAUCCAAAGAUCCUAACAGCUCUCCUGAUUCCGUCAAGGCUUGAAGUGUCAGCAUUACGAUGGCCAACACUCGCUCACUAUCCUCACUAUUACUGCUCCCUCAUUUAUCAGAGGCACCACAGUAGAAUGAAUUAGCAAUUACUCUUCACUUUCCAGCCGCAACCCAGCACUGGGAAACACCCAUACACCAUACGCCUGCACACAUUCACUUACUAUGGCCAAUUCACCAAUACCAAACGCAUGCCUUUGGACUGUGGGGGCAACUGGAGCACCCAGAGGAAACCCACACAAACACUGGGAGAACUUGCAAACUUCACACAGAAACACCA